GCGGAAGUGGCGAAAUUGGUAGACGCGCUGGAUUUAGGUUCCAGUACCGAAAGGUGUGAGAGUUCGAGUCUCUCUUUCCGCACCA
rnacentral:tRNA from 1 species